GUCAAACCAGAAUCAGUAUAAGUAGGGAGAUUAGUAAAAUUUAUUGCCUCUUACUAACAAACUAGAGAAAUGAUAAACAAA